rnacentral:tRNA from 1 species
CAGAGAAUAGUUUAUUAAAAUUUUAAUUUUGGAGAUUAAAGAUAAGGAAAAUCAUCCUUUUCUCUGA